rnacentral:rRNA from 1 species
CCCGGGGUACUCUAUGCUGAGAUCUGAUAGCAAGCUGUACUUGUACAGCGAAGUGGUUGAUGCCAUGCUUCCAGGAAAAGUCUCUAAGCUUCAGUUACACAGGAAUCGUACCCGAAACCGACACAGGUGGUCAGGUCGAGUAGACCAAGGCGCUUGAGAGAACUCUGCUGAAGGAACUAGGCAAAAUGGUACCGUAACUUCGGGAGAAGGUACGCUGUUGUUGGUGAUGGAACUCGCUUCCUGAGCUGACGACAGCCGCAGAAACCAGGCCGCUGCAACUGUUUAUUAAAAACAUAGCACUCUGCAAACACGAAAGUGGACUUAUAGGGUGUGAUGCCUGCCCGGUGCUGGAAGGUUAAUUGAUGGGGUUAGCGUUAGCGAAGCUCUUGAUCGAAGCCCCGGUAAACGGCGGCCGUAACAAUAACGGUCCUAAGGUAGCGAAAUUCCUUGUCGGGUAAGUUCCGACCUGCACGAAUGGCAUAAUGAUGGCGGCGCUGCCUCCAGCAGAGGCUCAGUGAAAUCGAAAUCGCCGUGAAGAUGCAGUGUACCCGCGGCUAGACGGAAAGACCCCGUGAACCUUUACUGCAGCUUGACACUGAACUUUGACCUUGCUUGUGUAGGAUAGGUGGGAGGCUUUGAAGCUGGAACGCUAGUUCCAGUGGAGCCGUCCUUGAAAUACCACCCUGGUAAUGUUGAGGUUCUAACUCUGUCCCGUGAUCCGGGACGAGGACCGUGUCUGGUGGGUAGUUUGACUGGGGCGGUCUCCUCCUAAAGAGUAACGGAGGAGUACGAAGGUGCGCUCAGCGUGGUCGGAAAUCACGCGUAGAGUAUAAAGGCAAAAGCGCGCUUAACUGCGAGACCCACAAGUCGAGCAGGUACGAAAGUAGGUCUUAGUGAUCCGGUGGUUCUGUAUGGAAGGGCCAUCGCUCAACGGAUAAAAGGUACUCUGGGGAUAACAGGCUGAUACCGCCCAAGAGUUCAUAUCGACGGCGGUGUUUGGCACCUCGAUGUCGGCUCAUCUCAUCCUGGGGCUGAAGCAGGUCCCAAGGGUAUGGCUGUUCGCCAUUUAAAGAGGUACGCGAGCUGGGUUUAGAACGUCGUGAGACAGUUCGGUCCCUAUCUACCGUGGGCGCUGGAAAUUUGAGAGGAUCUGCUCCUAGUACGAGAGGACCAGAGUGGACGAACCUCUGGUGUACCGGUUGUGACGCCAGUCGCAUCGCCGGGUAGCUAUGUUCGGAAGGGAUAACCGCUGAAAGCAUCUAAGCGGGAAGCCUACCUCAAGAUAAGAUUUCCCUAGGACUUUAUGUCCUCUAAAGAGCCGUUCGAGAUUAGGACGUUGAUAGGUUGGAUGUGGAAGCAUAGUGAUAUGUGAAACUGACCAAUACUAAUUGCUCGUGAGGCUUGACC